rfam:Clostridium sp. CAG:127 genomic scaffold, scf106
UGCAGGAGAAACCAUUAUGAGCGAAGCGAAUAAUUUAGGAUGGUUUCGACGAUAUGCCGCCGAACGGAUGUGAGGGGGCGAUACCCGAG